GUGAACACGUGAACAAGAUGGCCUACAGCAACCAGCCUUGAUUCUAGCAGUCUUCAAGAAAAAGGGUUCUACUGAGCAGAUCUGGUUAUCGCACUUCACGGAACUUCGUGGAAAGUUUUCAAGUCAGGUGGUAGGAACCUUCCAGCCUUCAAGUCAGCGUCUCAGGCAGCUCAGACAGGCUUUCAGCUUGCUGUGCACUGAAGGCUCUUCCUGAACUCAACCUCCUGCCUCUACAUCCCGAGUGCUGGUUUACAGUUGUAUGUUACCAUGCCUGGUGCCAACUGUGUUUUUUUUAAACAAAACAGUUCAAUAACCGAUGCUUGUGUUUUUAUUUUGUGCCUAGUCCUGGUCCUUUGUAACUCUUCAUGAAUUUUAGGUCCAAAUGGCACAGAAGAAGAUUUGGGGAUUCUGAUAGAAUUAGGUUGAAUCUGUAGGGCGAUUGGGAGAAAAAUCAGCUUUUUAAUCGUAUUCACACUUUCAUGUAAGAUGCAUGGCUUCUGGGGGCUGGUGAAAUGGGUCAGUGGUUAAGAGCGCCGACUGCUCUUCUGAAGGUCCUGAGUUCAAAUCCCAGCAACCACAUGGUGGCUCACAACCAUCCAUAAUGAGAUCUGAUGCCGUCUUCUGGAGUGUCUGAACACAGCUACAGUGUACUUACAUAUAAUAAAUAAAUAAAUCUUUAAAAAAAAGA
rnacentral:lncRNA from 1 species